rnacentral:rRNA from 1 species
UGACGCUGGCGGCAUGCCUUUNANAUGCAANUCGAACGGCAGCAUGAUCUAGCAUGCUAGAUUGAUGGCGAGUGGCGAACGGGUGAGUAAUACAUCGGAACGUGCCCUGUAGUGGGGGAUAACUAGUCGAAAGAUUAGCUAAUACCGCAUACGACCUGAGGGUGAAAGUGGGGGACCGCAAGGCCUCAUGCUAUAGGAGCGGCCGAUGUCUGAUUAGCUAGUUGGUGGGGUAAAGGCCCACCAAGGCGACGAUCAGUAGCUGGUCUGAGAGGACGAUCAGCCACACUGGGACUGAGACACGGCCCAGACUCCUACGGGAGGCAGCAGUGGGGAAUUUUGGACAAUGGGGGCAACCCUGAUCCAGCAAUGCCGCGUGUGUGAAGAAGGCCUUCGGGUUGUAAAGCACUUUUGUCCGGAAAGAAAUCGCACUUACUAAUAUUAGGUGUGGAUGACGGUACCGGAAGAAUAAGGACCGGCUAACUACGUGCCAGCAGCCGCGGUAAUACGUAGGGUCCAAGCGUUAAUCGGAAUUACUGGGCGUAAAGCGUGCGCAGGCGGUUGUGCAAGACCGAUGUGAAAUCCCCGGGCUUAACCUGGGAAUUGCAUUGGUGACUGCACGGCUAGAGUGUGUCAGAGGGGGGUAGAAUUCCA